UGAAAGUAGAUAAGAGCCACUGAGCCUUUUGUAUGACUCGGGGAUUAGGACCAACUAUCUGCUACGGUGUGCCAGAGUCAACACUACGCAUAGAAAGUUGCAUUUCAUAUCAAAUGAAAGCUGGGUGAUUGUGUGUGAGUGGCCUAAUCUCUGCCUGAGAGCUUUGGCUACUUAGUGUGAGCUCGGACAGCGGAUUCUUCCAAGAGUAGGACCAGGAGCGGGCUCUCCACCACUUCAAUUGUGACCAACGGCAAAGAGGCAGACCGGAGUCGGGCCUUUUCCACUCUUUCCGAUUCUGAUGGAUGUACCUCUUGAAUCAACAGCAGAAUGAGCCCUUCAAGGCAUUUGUUGAUAUUUUAGAUUCUUCUUUUUCUACAAGGAGCAACGGGGGAGAUUUGGAAAGUACGAAUCACCAAGAUGCUGCAACUGAGGGCAGCCUCACUUCAUCAUGGACUUCUGCACGCCCCGGCCGCCACGACGCCACAACCCGGUGGACAGCAUCUGCCGCAAACUGCAGACCAUCCAGUGGCGCGGUGACCGGGAGCCCAAUUCCCCCUUCCAGAUCCCCAAGCUCUCCUCCAGCAGCUACGACAGCCCCCAGUGCGGCCUCGGGCUCAACCUGGACGCCAUCUUGAAGAAAGGGGCCCAGGGACGAAAGGAGACCGGCGACGGAAAGCCCGACUCUGCGCCUUCCCAGAAGAGCAACGUGGGAGCCUCCGUCCCGCCGUCCGCUUCAGGCAACACCCCGACCCCAGCUAACAUCACGUAUACCAUCACUAGUACCCUCGGGGAGAGGAGAGGUGUCGAUCGAAGCGAUCUAAAGCAAUUUAAGACAUGGCAGAGUUACUGCUCCACUCCCACGAGCCAGCCCAAAGACUCCCCGUACUUCACGUUCACACGAGGCAGACCCGAGUCGGCGCAGCCCGAGAGCGGAAGCGGGCCGAGCAGGAGCCCCGUGCGCUCUCGCACCUUCACCCCAAUUUGCAGCACUGUCUCUUACAACCUCAACUUCAACUUCUCUGCCAGCACGGGGAGCUCCACGGAGGGUGAGGCGCCCUACCCGGCUCUGGUUGUCAAAAGACUGUCGCUGGGAGAUCGAGGGACCACCCUGGACUCUGAGAGCAACAACAUGGCAGAAGUCAGCCUCAUCUGCGAGGAGAAUCUCCUCGACACCAUCUUCCAUGCUUGUGACACGCAGCGCCGAGGUAAGGUGUACGUGUCUCACAUUGUGGACUACUUGCGCCACACAACCAGCCGCACCCCAGAGGACAGCGGGCUGGAGGAGCUCUGCAACAUGCUGGAUCCUGAACGCAAAGAUGUCUCCAUCGACCUGGACACGUACCACGCCGUCAUGAGGGAGUGGAUUGAAGACUGCCGCAGCAAUGGGGAAGAGCCACCAGAAUAUGCAUGCCAGGACUCGGUUAAACUACGAGACAGCCUUUCCUUGAGGAGGUCCAUGUUGCUCAACGUGACCUCUGGAAGCUUGGAGGGCUUUGGAGGGGACGUGUCGAAAACAGAAUUUGAAACAUCAGAGCUGGUGAACUGCCUUGCCGACCUCCAGAUGAGCAACCAAAAGCUCCAGGAGGAAGUGAAGAAGCUGAAACAAGCGGUGGAAGCAAUGGAAGAGAGCAACCAAAAGCUGGCAGAUGAGAACGAGGAGCUGCGCAACCAGACCAGAGCUCACCAGCAACUGGUCCACAAAGAGAAGAUGCUGCACGAUGAAGUGGAAGAAAUGAAGGCCACUCUGAGCUGCACGGAGGAAGGCAGAGCGCGCGCCUCCGCGCGCAGCAAACACGUGGAGAAAGAAAACCAAGCUCUCAUAGCCAAGAUUGCUUCUUUUGAGGACGAGAACUUCAAGGUCACUAUGGAGAUGGACGAGCUUCAGAAGAGAAUAGCGGAGCUGUGUGACAUUAACAGUGACCUUCAGGUGCAGAUUCACACUUUCGAUACCGUCAUCACUGAAAAGGAAUCUCUUAUACAAGAGAGGAGCAGACAGAUUGACGAGCUCAAGACGGCAGUGGAAGAAUACUCCUCCAUUACGGAGUUACUAAGGGCUGACAAGAGCAAACUGGAGAACCACAUGCAAAUGAUGCAUCCGGACCUUUCUGGUGCUGGAGUGUCUCUUUCGGUAGCCUACAGGUUGAACCAGAGCACUUCAGGAUCCCUGCAAACAGAACUGGCCCUGGCUCAGUCACCAACGGAGCCUGUCCAUGGGGUUGACCAAUUACCCAACAAUGUGUGUCUUGCCUCGCCGCUGGAUGAGACUCUGGACAGAGAGGUGCUGAUCAUGAUGCAUGGACCCAGCCCAGAACUCAUGGCUCAGGAGUUCAAGAAACUCCUGAACAGAAUGAAGACUGAUUUCAGACAAGAUACCAACAUUGUCCUGUCUACAAUCAAAACUUUACUAGAUGACCACUCAAAACCAGGGUUUGACACUGACACCAGUCUUGAGGCGGUGCAGGCCGCGCUGGACGCAACGAGAGAAGACUGGGCCCGUAGCCUGGACCAGCUAGCCCAGUACACUGACUCCAUAGAGACGGAACUGAUUAAAAUGACCAGUAAUAUGAGGAGGUCCCGGACUGAGAUCUUGCACCUUUCAGUCAGGGUGCAGGAUCAAGAGAACCAGAAGCGGCAACUCGGUGAGGAACUAGAGCAGCUCAAGACUCCUCAAGACAGCAGAGAAGCCUCAUGCCAGACACCUGCCCCAGAAGAGGAGACUGGGGAUGACCUGGAAUGGGAUGAGGAAUAUGCCCUUCAAGAUUUCCUGAAAAACGAAAUGGCGGAGAGCAACUCACGAGCGCGGGGUGACGUAACGGACGGCGGACAGACGGAGGACGGAGACGAGAGGUGGACGGUGGUGAAUGGCACGGGCGAGGGAGAAGUGAGGGACACGUCCACUCCUGUGUCUGCCAAGCUGGAGGUUUCCCAGGAUGGACACUGUCUGGCAGUUGCAGGCCAAGAACCUCCGGAGCCACAGGUGAACCUCCAUUGUUUGCAGGACGAGGCAGCAAUACCAUCGGACGCCCACUCACAGGCUGUCAGCCCCGAGCACCCAGCGGCGGAUGCCCUGCCUGAUCCGUCCCACUCAGACAGCCGCAGGGCAGAGACAGAUGAGACGACAGUGUCUCAGUCCUUGUCUGAUCAGGAUCCAAUAACUAUGCCCACUCCAACCAACAAUGCACCACCCAAUGAGGUCGCUCCUCCGAAUGAGAGCAUCCAACUGUCCGGCGAGGACCACAAGCAGGAAGACAAAGAGGGUGACGUGAGCAGCACUGCGAGCUUGAUUCUGGACCAGUCUGGACCUAGAUCAGCAGCACGGGACACCACAAGUCUGCUUCCCAUAUUGGUUGAAGAAGAGGAGAGCGCUACUAUAGAGGGCGGCAUGGCAGGGACGGAGCAGCCCAGCAGCAUCAGUGCAACCACCUUGACUGACUGUCAGCAGUCAAGCAUGUCCUUGGCACAGAACGGCCAAUCAGAGAGUCGCGUGACAUCAGAUCCAAAACAAUUGCAAAACAAAAAGGACUCCAAUGGGAUGAAUAAGAGAGAACUGGAGUCACAAGGCACGGAAACCACACAAGAUCCAAAGAUGGAGGAGGCCCAACCUGAGGCUUGUGCAACCACUGAGAAAGAAUCUGAGUCGUCUACCAUCUCUGACCACAAAGACUCGUGCGGAGAGGAUAAGAACAGCAGCCUGUCGCCCAAUGACAAGGAGAUUGAGACCGAGUUCCAGCGUCUAGCUCUGGGCUUUAAGUGCGACAUGUUUACCUUAGAGAAGAGGCUCCGGCUGGAGGAGCGGUCGCGUGACCUCGCCGAGGAGAACGUCCGCAGGGAGGUGUCCAGCUGCCAGGGCUUGCUGCAGGCUCUGACUCCUCUAUGUGAGGAUGACAACCAGUCAAUGGAGAUCAUUCACAGGCUCCAGAAGAAUCUGGAUAUCCUCAUCCAGUCCAUGACCCGAGUGUCUAGUCGCUCUGAGAUGCUCGGAGCCAUCCAUCAGGAGAGUCGCAUUGGUAAGGCGGUGGAGGUUAUGAUUCAGCAUGUCGAGAACCUGAGGAGGGUGUACACCAAGGAGCACGCCGAGCUGCUGGAGCUCCGGCAGACGCUCAUGCAGAACGAGAGGUCGUUUGGCUCGCACUCCGACAGAGAUGAAUUCCGUGGCAAGAAGCCAUCCACGACACAAUACUACAAGUCAUCAGCCCGGCGGGUUAGCAUAGCAGCAAUACCUCGCUCUGGUGGAGGCAACAUGCACUAUGACAUGACCAAACAACAGAACGGUGCAGAAAGUGAAGCAGAAAGACUCACCAGGAGAUCUCCAUGGAAUGUGGCAGGGAAGAACAUGGCACGCCCCCCACUUAAACGCUUUGUUAGCUCUGCCGCCUGGGUUGACACUGAAGAGCCCUCUGUCAUGAUGAAGGGGACGGCGCGCAAUAACUCCGACCCCCAGCUGGCCGACGAGCCGGACGAGCCCGUGCCGGAGAGGAGGAGGUCCAGUCUCAGUGAGCUGGGCAGCAAACUCACCUCCCUCAUUCUGCCUCUCAAGACUCCAAGCUUCUCAUCCAGCCCGGCGUCUUCCGAACAAGGACUGUCCCAGUCUUUGUCCCACAGCUUGACAUCCACCCGGUCAACGGCAGCCGCGGUGGCCCGAGGCAGCAGGGCACUCUGGCUUUGGUUGGCCAUGGUGCUGCUCCUUGCAGGUCUCCUGGCCCUGUUGGCCAGCCUUGUGAUGCAGCCAGCAGUAGACGCGGCCCCCGUAGGCACCGGAGACUCCUGGAUGACCAUCCAGCAGCUGCUCUGGCCUUACACGGGCCUGCGGCACAAUGGACAGCCCCCAGUUUAGCUCCCAAUUUUGGACCUGGGGUAGAUGGUGCUACAGCUGUCAGCCUUCUCCAGAUUUGCCCGUGCACUUUGGAAGGAUUAGCAAAACAUGAGUGGCCUGAUGGCACAGAACAGACUCUGAACAGUGUCCACGAAGAGGAAGUGGGUCUCUCGGGUCAGACAUAUCCCUUCAUGGCUCAUGUUGUCCUGCAGCAUGUGGAUGAAGGUGGAGUGAAACUCGCUGUCGGGAUGGUGGUCCGCACAGAAGACCUCGCUCGUUUCAGUUAUCUCCAGCUUCUGGAAUCUCUGAGCCCCCACGAGGUAGAGAUUCCACAAGUCUUCGGGUGCCGGGUCGGGGCCCUGGUGCUCACAGACCUUGACACGGCAAAAAUGUCCACCAUCAUCAUGACAUAAUUUCCUUCCUUUUUGUUUCCUUCUCUGCGCAAAUGGCAAAGCAUUAACUGAUACAUGAGGUCGUCAUGACGGAAUGUACACGAGAGGACCCACCUUUAUGACGAUAUGUUCUGGACCGCAUUGGGCGUUCCAUUUACUCCAUGAGAAGGCGCAGACUGACGCGAACAGGGCCAUCUGUUCAUAGACAACGUGUUCCAUAAGUGGGUCCUUUAGACAAAAGAAGCCACAGAUUGUAUAUUUUAUGAAAAAUGAACCAAAUGGUAGUGUGAAAGUCAUAUUAGACAUAGGAAAACUGUAAACAGGACUGACGCAGUUAGGGCUACAAUCUACUGUAUUUACAACUCCAAUGUGAGGGGAGAUGUUAACUUUUGGCGGUGUGCAAACUUUAAAUGGACUCACAGGCCAAAACUUUAAGGUUUAAAAAAAAAUAAUAAUAAAAUAAAAUAAAAAGUGGGGGUUAAAAUGUGUAUGGAAAACUAAAUAUUUGAUUUACAAUCAUUGCAAUAAAAUAGUUUACAGUAUGUAUAAUUUACAAUAAUUUAAAUACAAUGCAAUAAAUGGAUAAAGGUUAAAUGAACAAAUAUAUUUCAAUCAACCAAUUUUAGGAGGAAAAAAAACCUGCAAAAAGAAUAAAGUAAAUAUUACGGUACUGAAAUUGAGUACUUGGUGGGCCAGAUGAAAUAAUGAAGCGGAGCUGUACUUUGCCAAUGGAAGCUUUUUUUUUUUUGUUUUUUCCCCCCCCC